rnacentral:misc_RNA from 1 species
GUAACAAAUAAUAAAUCUUCAAAUCUUCCUUCUCAAAGUGAUUCUUCUAUCAGUUGUAGAGAAUUUCCUAUAAGAGAUCAGGUUGAACUACUCUUGAGGUCCACUGGUAAUGUUCCAGAAUUGUCUUCGGAUGUUUGUCUUCAUCUCUCUGCAAAUGCAAAGGCUUUUUUGGAAGUAAAGCUUAAUGAAAAUAAAGAAGCCCACACUGAGCCAAUUAUGACCCCAGAAGAGACUUUAAGUGAUUCUUCUGAUAUUUUGUCCACGAUAUCUUCAACUGGUUUCUUUUCUGGAUCCCUUGAUUUUACUUGCCUUUUUCCUGAGGGAAAUUUAACAUCUGUGUGUGGAGAUGUGGUAGACAUUCAUGGUUUUGACUGCAAUUCUGCUGCCAAUGCCC